GAUGAACGCUGGCGGCGUGCCUAAUACAUGCAAGUCGAGCGAACAGACGAGGAGCUUGCUCCUCUGACGUUAGCGGCGGACGGGUGAGUAACACGUGGAUAACCUACCUAUAAGACUGGGAUAACUUCGGGAAACCGGAGCUAAUACCGGAUAAUAUAUUGAACCGCAUGGUUCAAUAGUGAAAGACGGUUUUGCUGUCCAUUAUAGAUGGAUCCGCGCCGCAUUAGCUAGUUGGUGAGGUACCGGCUUACCAAGGCGACGAUGCGUAGCCGACCUGAGAGGGUGAUCGGCCACACUGGAACUGAGACACGGUCCAGACUCCGACGGGAGGCAGCAGUAGGGAAUCUGCCGCAAUGCGCGAGAGCCUGACGGAGCAGCGGCGCGUGAGUGAGGAAGGUCUUCGGGUCGUAGAUCUCUGUUAUUAGGGAUGAACAAAUGUGUAAGUAACUAUGCACGUCUUGACGGUACCUUGUCAGAAAGCCCCGGCUAACUACGUG
rnacentral:rRNA from 1 species